AGCGAACGCUGGCGGCAUGCCUAACACAUGCAAGUCGAACGAACCUUUCGGGGUUAGUGGCGGACGGGGGAGUAACACGUGGUAACGUGCCUUUAGGUUCGGAAUAACUCAGGGAAACUUGGGCUAAUACCUAAUGUGCCCUUCGGGGGAAAGAUUUAUCGCCUUUAGAGCGGCCCGCGUCUGAUUAGCUAGUUGGUUGAGGUAAUGGCUCACCAAGGCGACGAUCAGUAGCUGGUCUGAGAGGAUGAUCAGCCACAUUGGGACUGAGACACGGCCCAAACUCCUACGGGAGGCAGCAGUGGGGAAUCUUGCGAAAUGGGCGAAAGCCUGACGCAGCCAUGCCGCGUGAAUGAUGAAGGUCUUAGGAUUGUAAAAUUCUUUCACCGGGGACGAUAAUGACGGUACCCGGAGAAGAAGCCCCGGCUAACUUCGUG
rnacentral:rRNA from 1 species